UGGGGAAUUUUGGACAAUGGGCGAAAGCCUGAUCCAGCAAUGCCGCGUGUGUGAAGAAGGCCUUCGGGUUGUAAAGCACUUUUGUCCGGAAAGAAAUCCUUGGCUCUAAUACAGUCGGGGGAUGACGGUACCGGAAGAAUAAGCACCGGCUAACUACGUGCCAGCAGCCGCGGUAAUACGUAGGGUGCAAGCGUUAAUCGGAAUUACUGGGCGUAAAGCGUGCGCAGGCGGUUUGCUAAGACCGAUGUGAAAUCCCCGGGCUCAACCUGGGAACUGCAUUGGUGACUGGCAGGCUAGAGUAUGGCAGAGGGGGGUAGAAUUCCACGUGUAGCGGUGAAAUGCGUAGAGAUGUGGAGGAAUACCGAUGGCGAAGGCAGCCCCCUGGCAAGUACUGACGCUCAUGCACGAAAGCGUGGGGAGCAAACAGGAUUAGAUACCCCUGGUAGUCCACGCCCUAAACGAUGUCAACUAGUUGUUGGGGAUUCAUUUCCUUAGUAACGUAGCUAACGCGUGAAGUUGACCGCCUGGGGAGUACGAUCGCAAAGAUUAAAACUCAAAUGAAUUGACGGGGUCAUAGCUGUUUCCU
rnacentral:rRNA from 1 species